rnacentral:snRNA from 12 species
AUCGCAUCUCGGCCUUUUGGCUAAGAUAAAGUGUAGUAUAUAUUCUUAUCAGUUUAAUAUCUGAUACGGGCCAUAUAUUUUAGGCAGUGGCCUAAUGGAUAGGGAGUCAAACUUGUAACCUGAAAAUUGCAGGUACGAGUCAGGUCUGGCAGGAAUUGU